GACAGGAUUCUCACCGAGGACAUUAAGAAACCGGGGCGCCGCCCCCGGCACUCCCAGCAGGGCUUGGCCGAAUCCGCAGCCUCGAUUAAACUGGAGCCUCAGGUGGGGAGCCCCCUCCUCGGCGGCGUGGCGCUGUCCGGGGAGCCCCUGGUCCCGGGGGUGGGCCGGGGGGAGGAGGGCGGGGACUCGUUUGGCGACCUCACUUCCCCCCACUUCCCCACGCACUUCCUGCAGCCCGCCUUCGAGGUGAAGCUGGAGGCGGAGCUGGGGGAGGGCGGGACCCUGGAGAUUGACGGCGGGGACAGCCUCUCGCAGGGCUACGACAGCUCGGACAGGGAGGCCGCCCUGCUGGAGGACCCCAUGAUGCCCAAAAACACAGACACCUCCUCCAGCGCCGAGGAUUGACCAAAACCCUCCCUUCCGCUAUCCGGGGCGUCAUCGCUGUUUGUCUUUCGUUUUGUAUGGACCGAUCAAUUACGGCCGGGUCGCGCCUCACGUUUUCAGUUGAAGUUUCUCGUCGUUUUAUAUCUUAACGGGUUUUUUUUUUUGUUUUUUUUUGUCAAUUGGUUUUUGUUUUUGUCGGUGGGAGAGGGGUGUGGCGGGGUGCCUCCGGCGCCGUCUGUCCGGCCGCUGCCCUCUUCCCUGGGGCCGGGCCGGAGGGAGGGGCGCGGGCCCAGCCGCAGAGCCGUCUCCUCUCUGUCCCUGCAGGGGUUGUUUUGGAAAUAAAAGUAGUUUUGGGGAUCAGUGCUGCCGUAGUUACUGCCGUCUGCUCUGUCUGGGGGGCGGGGGUGGGUGGGGAGGGGGGCUUGUUGCUCUCUCACCGAGCGGGGUGGAGUUUUGGGGGCCCGGCUCUCGGGGGGGGCUCCCUCAGGGAAGUCUGUGUGAGAGGGCCCCCCCGCUGGGUCCUGGGACCGGAGCGGACUCUCGCGCCCCUGGGUGGGGGGGCAGGUCGGCCAGGCUGCUGGAAGGUGGUCAGAUUGGGGGGGGCGGGGGGAGUCGGGGGGGCCUGUAUGUAUUAUAUUCUGUAGAGAUGCGAAACUGCCUGCGAAUUGUCUCUCCACGUGUGUGACUCCCGACCACAGAAACCUAUAAACACGAUCUGCAGAGACGCCUCCUGUUCU
rnacentral:lncRNA from 1 species